UGUUCCUGUUUACGAGAUGAGCACGUUUCAUCGAGAAACGCGCGUGCACGCUACACAAUGCAUUCACUUAGCGGACGUGUGAAAAGUGGUAUUGACCGAGGAAAGUGAAGCCUCGAAGGCGAGAGAAGGACGUGACGGUUUCUCGCGAGGUCUCGGCUUUAACGUCCGAUAAUGAGUCUUUGUGUCGCUAAAAGUGAAACCUGCCGCCGACGAAAGUAGGCAAGCUAUGGGGAACCGGAAAGCAGACGCUGACCACUCACUUUUUAGAGCCCACAGUUCCUGAUUCUUCAGAGCCUCGACGUACGUCGUGAUGUCCUUGCCACAUUGCGCACCAACGGCAUGCUUACCCUCGGCCCAAUUUCUUACUAAAUUACGCGCACUGAAAAUGUCCAGCGUGUCCGACAGACUGGUCCAAUUCUUCUCGAUGAGAUUGUUGGUCGCCGGCAGACUUCUGACACGAAGAAUCGACUCUUCCAAAGCACCUUUCGGAAUAUCAGUCGAUGCGGCGUGGGUCGCGAAAAGACUUACUACUUGCACCCACACCAAAUACCAGCGAGUAACGAGGGAGACUAGUCACUGCUCGUGGAUCCACAUCAUUAAAAGUCUUCACGGAUCAUUGGGGUUGAUCGCGAUUUUUCCUCUGGCUAGCUGUCGAUCUUCGCG